rnacentral:rRNA from 1 species
UGCACAGGCUAUGACGGGAGCCGGCCUGAGAGGGCGACCGGCCACCGGGAUGAGACCGGCCCGGACUCCUACGGGAGGCAGCAGUGGGGAUCUUGCACAAUGGGCGCAAGCCUGAUGCAGCGAUGCCGCGUGAGGGAUGAAGGCCUUCGGGUCGUAAACCUCUUUCAUCAGGGAAGAAGCCUGGGGUUACCCCGGUGACGGUACCUGCACAACAACCCCCGGCUAACUACGUGC